GGGCGAUUAGCUCAGUUGGUAGAGCGCUUCGUUUACACCGAAGAUGUCGGCGGUUCGAGCCCGUCAUCGCCCA
rfam:Mesorhizobium sp. TASWS1009 40, whole genome shotgun sequence.